AUGGUACGGAACACGGAAAUCAACAUGGCGGAUUUUUGACUUUUUUACCAAUUUUCAAAGACAUGGCCAAACCUAAGAGGAAACGGAGUCUGACACUUGGGAAAAAGAAAUGGAUAAAGAAGCAAAACAAGAAUAUCAAUAUCAAAAUAACUUUCUAAUUGCCGCAAUGCACCAGGAAAUCACCAGCGAGAAAACAAACAAAAAGACUGCUUAAGCCAUCUGAAUCCCCUCUACAACUUAUAUCCAGCAAACUGAAGAAUAAAGUCAUUUAGGUCACCUGUCGCUUCCAAAAAACAAACAUACAAUAACUCUCGAUUGAAGUUAAAGUCUUCAAGAUCACUUUUUGGACCUGUAGAGGAAAACAGUGAUAUGUAAAUAAAAUCUGGAAAGUAGAUCCCUCGGAAGCACCGAAAACAAGAAGACGAUGUAGAGCACUUCUUAAACACCGGAUUGCAAGUGUGAAGAGCUG
rnacentral:lncRNA from 1 species